rnacentral:rRNA from 1 species
CACGUAGGGCGCGAGCGUUGUCCGGAAUUAUUGGACGUAAAGAGCUCGUAGGCGGCCUGUUGCGUCCGCUGUGAAAGCCCGGGGCUUAACCCCGGGUCGGCAGUGGAUACGGGCAGGCUAGAGGUAGGUAGGGGAGAAUGGAAUUCCCGGUGUAGCGGUGAAAUGCGUUGAGAUCGGAAGGAACGCCCGUGGCGAAAGCGAGGUCCUGGACGUUUUCUGACGCUGAGACGCGAAAGCCAGGGGAGCGAACGGG